UUCACAGACAUGUCUAUUU
rnacentral:snRNA from 1 species